GAUGAACGCUAGCGGCAGGCUUAACACAUGCAAGUCGAGGGGCAGCAUGACACGGAGAUUCGUCGAAGUGUUGAUGGCGACCGGCGCAAGGGUGCGUAACGCGUGAGCAACUUGCCUGUUCAGGGGGAUAACCGGUGGAAACGCCGACUAAUACCCCAUAGUAUUGAUUUAAGGCAUCUUUUAUCAAUUAAAGAACUUCGGAAACGGAUAGGCUCGCGUGACAUUAGCUAGUUGGAGGGGUAACGGCCCACCAAGGCGACGAUCAGUAGCCGGUCUGAGAGGAUGAACGGCCACAUUGGGACUGAGAUACGGCCCAGACUCCUACGGGAGGCAGCAGUGGGGGAUAUUGCGCAAUGGGGGAAACCCUGACGCAGCAACGCCGCGUGAAGGAAGAAGGUCUUCGGAUUGUAAACUUUUGUCUUUUGGGACGAAAACUGACGGUACCAAAGGAGGAAGCCACGGCUAACUACGUG
rnacentral:rRNA from 1 species